rnacentral:rRNA from 1 species
UACGUAGGGUGCGAGCGUUGUCCGGAAUUAUUGGGCGUAAAGAGCUCGUAGGCGGUCUGUCGAGUCGACUGUGAAAACCCGAGGCUUAACCUCGGGCCUGCAGUUGAUACGGGCAGACUAGAGUUCGGUAGGGGAGACUGGAAUUCCUGGUGUAGCGGUGAAAUGCGCAGAUAUCAGGAGGAACACCGAUGGCGAAGGCAGGUCUCUGGGCCGAUACUGACGCUGAGGAGCGAAAGCGUGGGGAGCGAACAGG